rnacentral:rRNA from 2 species
UCAAGUGAAGAAGCGCAUACGGUGGAUGCCUUGGCAGUCAGAGGCGAUGAAAGACGUGGUAGCCUGCGAAAAGCUUCGGGGAGUCGGCAAACAGACUUUGAUCCGGAGAUGUCUGAAUGGGGGAACCCAGCCAUCAUAAGAUGGUUAUCUUGUACUGAAUACAUAGGUGCAAGAGGCGAACCAGGGGAACUGAAACAUCUAAGUACCCUGAGGAAAAGAAAUCAACCGAGAUUCCCUUAGUAGUGGCGAGCGAACGGGGACUAGCCCUUAAGUGGCUUUGAGAUUAGCGGAACGUUCUGGAAAGUACGGCCAUAGUGGGUGAUAGCCCUGUACGCGAAAAUCUCUUAGUCAUGAAAUCGAGUAGGACGGAGCACGAGAAACUUUGUCUGAAUAUGGGGGGACCAUCCUCCAAGGCUAAAUACUACUGACUGACCGAUAGUGAACUAGUACCGUGAGGGAAAGGCGAAAAGAACCCCGGAGAGGGGAGUGAAAUAGAUCCUGAAACCGUAUGCGUACAAGCAGUGGGAGCCUACUUUGUUAGGUGACUGCGUACCUUUUGUAUAAUGGGUCAGCGACUUAUUUUCAGUGGCGAGCUUAACCGAAUAGGGGAGGCGUAGCGAAAGCGAGUCUUAAUAGGGCGUCUAGUCGCUGGGAAUAGACCCGAAACCGGGCGAUCUAUCCAUGGGCAGGUUGAAGGUUGGGUAACACUAACUGGAGGACCGAACCGACUACCGUUGAAAAGUUAGCGGAUGACCUGUGGAUCGGAGUGAAAGGCUAAUCAAGCUCGGAGAUAGCUGGUUCUCCUCGAAAGCUAUUUAGGUAGCGCCUCAUGUAUCACUGUAGGGGGUAGAGCACUGUUUCGGCUAGGGGGUCAUCCCGACUUACCAAACCGAUGCAAACUCCGAAUACCUACAAGUGCCGAGCAUGGGAGACACACGGCGGGUGCUAACGUCCGUCGUGAAAAGGGAAACAACCCAGACCGUCAGCUAAGGUCCCAAAGUUAUGGUUAAGUGGGAAACGAUGUGGGAAGGCUUAGACAGCUAGGAGGUUGGCUUAGAAGCAGCCACCCUUUAAAGAAAGCGUAAUAGCUCACUAGUCGAGUCGGCCUGCGCGGAAGAUGUAACGGGGCUCAAACCAUACACCGAAGCUACGGGUAUCACGUAAGUGAUGCGGUAGAGGAGCGUUCUGUAAGCCUGUGAAGGUGAGUUGAGAAGCUUGCUGGAGGUAUCAGAAGUGCGAAUGCUGACAUGAGUAACGACAAUGGGUGUGAAAAACACCCACGCCGAAAGACCAAGGUUUCCUGCGCAACGUUAAUCGACGCAGGGUUAGUCGGUCCCUAAGGCGAGGCUGAAAAGCGUAGUCGAUGGAAAACAGGUUAAUAUUCCUGUACUUCUGGUUAUUGCGAUGGAGGGACGGAGAAGGCUAGGCCAGCUUGGCGUUGGUUGUCCAAGUUUAAGGUGGUAGGCUGAGAUCUUAGGUAAAUCCGGGAUCUUAAGGCCGAGAGCUGAUGACGAGCUAACUUUUAGUUAGCGAAGUGGUUGAUGCCAUGCUUCCAAGAAAAGCUUCUAAGCUUCAGGUAACCAGGAACCGUACCCCAAACCGACACAGGUGGUUGGGUAGAGAAUACCAAGGCGCUUGAGAGAACUCGGGUGAAGGAACUAGGCAAAAUGGCACCGUAACUUCGGGAGAAGGUGCGCCGGUGAGGGUGAAGGACUUGCUCCGUAAGCUCAUGCCGGUCGAAGAUACCAGGCCGCUGCGACUGUUUAUUAAAAACACAGCACUCUGCAAACACGAAAGUGGACGUAUAGGGUGUGACGCCUGCCCGGUGCCGGAAGGUUAAUUGAUGGGGUUAGCUAACGCGAAGCUCUUGAUCGAAGCCCCGGUAAACGGCGGCCGUAACUAUAACGGUCCUAAGGUAGCGAAAUUCCUUGUCGGGUAAGUUCCGACCUGCACGAAUGGCGUAACGAUGGCGGCGCUGUCUCCACCCGAGACUCAGUGAAAUUGAAAUCGCUGUGAAGAUGCAGUGUAUCCGCGGCUAGACGGAAAGACCCCGUGAACCUUUACUAUAGCUUUGCACUGGACUUUGAAUUUGCUUGUGUAGGAUAGGUGGGAGGCUUUGAAGCGUGGACGCCAGUUCGCGUGGAGCCAUCCUUGAAAUACCACCCUGGCAACUUUGAGGUUCUAACUCAGGUCCGUUAUCCGGAUCGAGGACAGUGUAUGGUGGGUAGUUUGACUGGGGCGGUCUCCUCCUAAAGAGUAACGGAGGAGUACGAAGGUGCGCUCAGACCGGUCGGAAAUCGGUCGUAGAGUAUAAAGGCAAAAGCGCGCUUGACUGCGAGACAGACACGUCGAGCAGGUACGAAAGUAGGUCUUAGUGAUCCGGUGGUUCUGUAUGGAAGGGCCAUCGCUCAACGGAUAAAAGGUACUCCGGGGAUAACAGGCUGAUACCGCCCAAGAGUUCAUAUCGACGGCGGUGUUUGGCACCUCGAUGUCGGCUCAUCACAUCCUGGGGCUGAAGCCGGUCCCAAGGGUAUGGCUGUUCGCCAUUUAAAGUGGUACGCGAGCUGGGUUUAGAACGUCGUGAGACAGUUCGGUCCCUAUCUGCCGUGGACGUUUGAGAUUUGAGAGGGGCUGCUCCUAGUACGAGAGGACCGGAGUGGACGAACCUCUGGUGUUCCGGUUGUCACGCCAGUGGCAUUGCCGGGUAGCUAUGUUCGGAAUAGAUAACCGCUGAAAGCAUCUAAGCGGGAAACUAGCCUCAAGAUGAGAUCUCACUGGAACCUUGAGUUCCCUGAAGGGCCGUCGAAGACUACGACGUUGAUAGGUUGGGUGUGUAAGCGCUGUGAGGCGUUGAGCUAACCAAUACUAAUUGCCCGUGAGGCUUGACCAU